AUUGAACGCUGGCGGCAGGCCUAACACAUGCAAGUCGAGCGGAUGAAGGGAGCUUGCUCCUGGAUUCAGCGGCGGACGGGUGAGUAAUGCCUAGGAAUCUGCCUGGUCGUGGGGGAUAACGUCCGGAAACGGGCGCUAAUACCGCAUACGUCCUGAGGGAGAAAGUGGGGGAUCUUCGGACCUCACGCUAUCAGAUGAGCCUAGGUCGGAUUAGCUAGUUGGUGGGGUAAAGGCCUACCAAGGCGACGAUCCGUAACUGGUCUGAGAGGAUGAUCAGUCACACUGGAACUGAGACACGGUCCAGACUCCUACGGGAGGCAGCAGUGGGGAAUAUUGGACAAGGGGCGAAAGCCUGAUCCAGCCAUGCCGCGUGUGUGAAGAAGGUCUUCGGAUUGUAAAGCACUUUAAGUUGGGAGGAAGGGCAGUAAGUUAAUACCUUGCUGUUUUGACGUUACCAACAGAAUAAGCACCGGCUAACUUCGUG
rnacentral:rRNA from 1 species